rnacentral:misc_RNA from 1 species
UACGUAGGGGGCAAGCGUUGUCCGGAUUUAUUGGGCGUAAAGAGCUCGUAGGCGGUCGUUCACGUCGGAUGUGAAAGCUCGGGGCUCAACCCUGAGAGGCCAUUCGAUACGGAACGACUAGAGGCAGGUAGGGGAGGGUGGAAUUCCUGGUGUAGCGGUGAAAUGCGCAGAUAUCAGGAGGAACACCGGUGGCGAAGGCGGCCCUCUGGGCCUGUCCUGACGCUGAGGAGCGAAAGCUGGGGGAGCGAACAGG